rnacentral:rRNA from 1 species
AUGAUUCGUGGGACGUCCUGCCGGUGGUGGCGAGUCGAAGGCGUGCACCCGUUGUGGUUUAUCCACUUCGGUUCUUGCGCGCCGGAGGCGGACCCCGAUGAAAUCCUACCGCGGUGCUCUUCGCCGAGUGUCGAGGUGGGCCGGCACGUUUACUUUGUACAAAUUAGAGUGCUUAAAGCAGGCCUGUUGCGCCUGAAUACUGUGUGCAUGGAAUAAUGGAAUAGGACCUCGGUUCUAUUUUGUUGGUUUUCGGAACCCGAGGUAAUGAUUAAUAGGGACAGGCGGGGGCAUUCGUAUUGCGACGUUAGAGGAGAAAUUCUUGGAUCGUCGCAAGACGGACCGAAGCGAAAGCAUUUGCCAAGUAUGUUUUCAUUAAUCAAGAACGAAAGUUAGAGGUUCGAAGGCGAUCAGAUACCGCCCUAGUUCUAACCAUAAACGAUGCCAGCUAGCGAUCCGCCGAAGUUCCUCCGAUGACUCGGCGGGCAGCUCCCGGGAAACCAAAGCUUUUGGGUUCCGGGGAAGUAUGGUUGCAAAGCUGAACUUAAGGAAUUGACGGAAGG